GACGAACGCUGGCGGCGUGCUUAACACAUGCAAGUCGAGCGGAAAGGCCCUUUCGGGGGUACUCGAGCGGCGAACGGGUGAGUAACACGUGAGUAAUCUGCCCUUGGCUUUGGGAUAACUACCGGAAACGGUGGCUAAUACCGGAUACGACCAAUCACUGCAUGGUGUGUUGGUGGAAAGUUUUUUCGGCCAGGGAUGUGCUCGCGGCCUAUCAGCUUGUUGGUGGGGUAAUGGCCUACCAAGGCUUCGACGGGUAGCCGGCCUGAGAGGGUGACCGGCCACACUGGGACUGAGACACGGCCCAGACUCCUACGGGAGGCAGCAGUGGGGAAUAUUGGACAAUGGGCGGAAGCCUGAUCCAGCAACGCCGCGUGAGGG
rnacentral:rRNA from 1 species